rnacentral:rRNA from 1 species
UACAGAGGGUGCGAGCGUUAAUCGGAAUUACUGGCGUAAAGCGCGCGUAGGCGGCUUUGCAAGUCGAGUGUGAAAUCCCCAGGCUCAACCUGGGAACUGCAUUCGAGACUGCAUAGCUAGAGUAUGGGAGAGGGAAGUGGGAAUUCAGGUGUAGCGGUGAAAUGCGUAGAUAUCUGAAGGAACAUCAGUGGCGAAAGCGACUUCCUGGACCAGCACCGACGUUCAGGCACGAAAGCGUGGGGAGCAAACAGG